rnacentral:piRNA from 1 species
CCUCUAGACCACGUGAAACAGAUUGAUAACGU